rnacentral:misc_RNA from 1 species
GAAGAACUAGUGGAAUUACAUAUUAGUUUUGCUACAAAUUCUUGAAUGUUCUUAUCAGAACUUCCAUCUUCAUCUACUGCUUCUUUGGCUAGUUUCUCCCAUUUCUCACUAUUCUUUCUGAUCUCAAUUGCUGUCUCUUCUUCCAUGACUUCUCGUAUACGUAGCUCUAUUUCUUUUCCCGUGACAAUUCCUUCUUCAUCUACCUUAACCCUAACCCCUACCCUCCACACAUCAGCAACAAAUUUUGCAUUAGUUGUUUGAUCUGCCCAUUGUGGCAUUGCCACCAUUGGGACUCCCAUGCUCAAGGCCUCCAGUGUAGAGUUCCACCCACAAUGAGUCAUAAAGCAACCCACUGACUUGUGAGCUAGGACUUCUAGCUGUGGACACCAAGUCACCACUAGACCCUUCUCUGAUGUCUCAUCCAAAAAUCUGCUUGGAAAUUUUUCUUUCUCUGUUUCUCUGACUACCCACAGGAAAUAAUGGCAGCUCAUUUUCAGGCCACAUGCUAUUUCUUCCAUCUGCCUUUCUCCCAAGAUAGACAAGCUUCCAAAGGACACAUAUACUACUGAGCAAGGUUCCCUAGAGUCCAGCCACUUCAUGCAACUUUCUACAUCAGGCUUGAAGAGGCUGAGGCCAUAAUCCUUGUCAUCCUUCACUCUCUUGUCCGUGUACAUUGAUGGGAUUGUUGGUCCUACUGGUUUGAUUGCGCAUUGUCUUGCCAUCAAGUUCAGAACCUCAUCUUCCAAGCUGUUGAAAGUGUUAAAAAAAACCCAAUCGGCUUCUCCAAUAUUGGAAAACUGACUAGCACUUAGUUUUAAUGAGAGCGGGUAGUUUUCCAAGUCG